GCUCCUUUCACCCCACUGUCAUUCUAUUCCCCUUCUCUCCUGUAAAUGCCCCACUGCUUAUCAUUUCAGCAAUUCCAUGUAAUGGUGACUCUCCAAUCCUCUCUGAAUAAAGACAUAUCAGUGUCUACCUUGGCCAGCUGUUCUGAUUUCCUCCAUUGAACAGAGUUCCCGUUAGCAGUAGAGAUGGUCUCAAAAGUGCUUCAUUACCACAUGUGACUCAUUUUACAGCCUCACCCCAGCUCCUUUUCCAAGUGCCAUGAAGAUGAGUUAUCUCUCUUUACAGCGAGGAGGUGCUGCUCAUGAACUCCUUCAUCGCCAAAGCCAAUGAAACCGAAUUUCACAUCCAUGAUUCCUGGAGAGAAAAGACAAAUUGGGAAAUAUUCUCAUGACCGGAUGCACAGAAGAAAAUAACCAGUUAAUAUUAAAAAGAUUUAACACACUUACCAAAUCAAAUACUUGCUUGGUAAUAUGGAGCACUUUCGGCACUGAACGUAGCAGCCAUGUAUCCUGAACAAUGGCUCCAGUGAUGAGUAAUUCAUUCUGGCAGUGGGCCCUGCUCAGUUUAUGGAUUGGACCUAUUUCUAGCAGUUUCUGGCACAGAAGAUUGCGGAGAAACAGGAGUUGCGCAGAAUAUAAUUGGCACUUAGAAUUCAAUGCCCUUUUGCACCAGCCGUGCCAAUUUCAGGUGAACUGCGCUGAAAAGAAAACAUAAAAGUGUGGAAACUCCAGAAGGAUGUAUUCAACACCUUUUCAAUCAUGUUCUUCAUCACUUACUUUGGAGUUCUCCUUGUAACUGUUGCAACAUUUCUUCAAGCUUUGCUAGGUACAAUGGGACAGCAUGCAGCAACAUCUGCCUGGCUCUGCUCAGCUUCCAGAACUGACGGAAUGGUUUACCGCCAUUCCUGAUCACGUCUGCUGUCUUCUGUGAAACCUUUAACAACCAACCACAUGUCUCAUGUAGGAGCUCAACACCUUCAACCUAGAGAGGAAUGAAACCAUUACUCAGGGUGUAUUGGUGCAGGGGCGAAAAGGUCCUUUGCCCGACUUCAGACCAAUAGUGUCAAAAUUCAACUUUAUCAGGUGGAUGGGGGUCGGGAGGUGGUCCUCUACAUAGCUUAUUAUUGAAAGCAGAGACUUGACAGAACACAACCUACACACAAGCUAAAGAGACGCUGAAUGAUGAAUGAUAAGGGAAAGUAAGACAAGCCGGAUGGAAACAGAAUGUAAAACAAGGACAUGUUGGUAUAUAGAUGCAAGUUCUUGUGCCUCAAAAUUCACUUUUACUCAGAUUACCAAAUCAUUUUUGAACAUAACUUUGAAGCAAUUCUUUAAAGUUUGUGAACUGAAUAGAUUUCCUCCCCAUCUCAGGGACUUACUUUGAUACACAAUGCAAU